GCCAGGCACAGUGGCACAUGACUGUAGUCCCAGCUACUUGGGAGGCUGAGGUAGGACUAUUACUUGUGCCCCAGAGUUCUAGGCCAGCCUGGGCAACAUAGCAAGACCCAGUCCCCA
rnacentral:sRNA from 1 species